rnacentral:rRNA from 1 species
UACAGAGGGGGCUAGCGUUGUCCGGAUUUAUUGGGUUUAAAGGGUGCGUAGGCGGUCCUAUAAGUCAGUGCUGAAAUAUCCCGGCUUAACCGGGAGGGUGGCAUUGAUACUGCAGGACUUGAGUAAAGUUGAGGUUGGCGGAAUUGACGGUGUAGCGGUGAAAUGCUUAGAUAUCGUCAAGAACACCUAUUGCGAAGGCAGCUAACUAAGCUUUAACUGACGCUGAGGCACGAAAGUGUGGGGAUCAAACAGG